rnacentral:tRNA from 1 species
GGCGCUGUGGCUUAUUUGGUUAUAGUGCCUGUCUAGUAAACAGGAGAUCCUGAGUUCGAAUCUUAGCAGUGCCU